AACGAAAUUCCCAACCGCCUGCGAAAAAUAAACACACCACCUAUUAGGAUCUUCUCCAAAAAGUAACUGACCUGGAACCAAUACAGGAAAUCCUGGCCAUCUGAUUACCUCUGCGGCGAGAGAUGGGCUUGUGGAGGACAUAUCCUGUGUGUUGAGAGAGGGACAAGAAAGUUAAGAUCAUCCGGGACCCAAGCUCUGCCAAAAUGGAUGACUACUACUACUACUACUACUACUCUUUUUUGUAUCCCUGUCUGUCCCAUAGGUCAGUAAGAAAUGGGAUUCUUCUUUUGCUGUCUGUUCUGCUCUGUUGCCCUGCACCAUUGAACUGACAUUACUGGGAACAGGUUGAUGCACAAAGGAGAAGCAAAGAUCUGCCGGAAAAAUAAAUACAGAAUAUUACAAUUCCCUGU